rnacentral:rRNA from 1 species
UACAGAGGCCUCAAGCGUUAAUCGGAGUCACUGGGCUUAAAGGGUGCGUAGGCGGUUCUCCAAGUGCCUUGUGAAAUCCCAUGGCUCAACCAUGGAAUUGCUCGGUAGACUGGGGAACUUGAGGUUGGUAGAGGUUGCUGGAACCAUAGGUGGAGCGGUGAAAUGCCUAGAUAUCUAUGGGAACACCGAACGUGAAGACAGGCAACUGGGCCAAUUCUGACGCUGAGGCACGAAAGCGUGGGGAGCAAAC